UGUCAAGAGUCGUGGCGUCGUUUUGGCGAGCAGAUUUCUUUUGCCUAAUCGAGGGUGAAAGAAAAUG
rfam:Mesorhizobium metallidurans STM 2683, WGS project CATM01000000 data, contig: ANX_1635_Contig_7